UACAGAGGGGGCAAGCGUUGUUCGGAAUUACUGGGCGUAAAGCGUGUGUAGGCGGUCUCGUAAGUCGGGGGUGAAAGCCCUGGGCUCAACCCAGGAAGUGCACUCGAAACUGCGAGGCUAGAGUACUGGAGAGGUUGGUGGAAUUCUCGGUGUAGAGGUGAAAUUCGUAGAUAUCGAGAGGAACACCGGUGGCGAAGGCGGCCGGCUGGACAGAUACUGACGCUGAGACUCGAAAGCGUGGGGAGCAAACAGG
rnacentral:rRNA from 1 species